CCGAAACCCAAGUCAUUCAAGUUGACUAAGAACCAGCUAUUCCAAGACAAGGACACAGUGUUCGAUUACGUGUACGACAAGCGCAACAACGGCACCUGGAUACCCUGGGUCGACCUGGAGAAGGAGGUCGCCAUACCGGCCACAGCUAAGGUCAAUGAAAUUAUAAUCCUAACAAAUGAGAACGCGUACCUGCGGUAUUUCGUGUCUAAGAUGGUGAAGUCCCAGAUCCCAAUUUUGCUGGUGGGUCCCACCGGCACGGGCAAGUCCUCGCUUGUCAUCGAUUUCCUCCUUUCUCUGCCGAGGCACAAGUACAUCACCAACACCAUUAACUUUUCAGCCAGGACCACAGCUAACCAGACUCAAGACAUCAUAAUGUCAAAAGUGGAUAGACGGCGAAAAGGUGUAUUCGGCCCAUCAAUGGGUAAAAAG